rnacentral:rRNA from 1 species
GUGAACGCUGGCGGUAGGCCUAGCACAUGCACGUCGAACGGCAGCACCGUAAGAGCUUGCUCUUACGGGUGGCGAGUGGCGGACGGGUGAGGAAUACAUCGGAAUCUACUUUUUCGUGGGGGAUAACGUAGGGAAACUUACGCUAAUACCGCAUACGACCUACGGGUGAAAGCAGGGGAUCUUCGGACCUUGCGCGAUUGAAUGAGCCGAUGUCGGAUUAGCUAGUUGGCGGGGUAAAGGCCCACCAAGGCGACGAUCCGUAGCUGGUCUGAGAGGAUGAUCAGCCACACUGGAACUGAGACACGGUCCAGACUCCUACGGGAGGCAGCAGUGGGGAAUAUUGGACAAUGGGCGCAAGCCUGAUCCAGCCAUACCGCGUGGGUGAAGAAGGCCUUCGGGUUGUAAAGCCCUUUUGUUGGGAAAGAAAAGCAGCAGGUUAAUACCCCGCUGUUCUGACGGUACCCAAAGAAUAAGCACCGGCUAACUUCGUG